AGAAUGAUGAACAAAAUACCCAUGUUUCCAGAGAUGAAUUAUUCAAACCCCAAAGAAUUCCUCUCAACACAUGGCUAUGAUACUCCCCCAUUACUCUUGCUCAUGAUCACAGAUGCGCAUAUUGUCAGCCACUAAGGGACAUGCUCAGUUGGUUAAGGUUAAACAACUUACAAGCAAAUCUGUGGAAUUGAGCAGAAUGUUUACUAUUAAGAAUAUUUUUGCUUCAGGAAGUGGUGAG